rnacentral:misc_RNA from 1 species
GAAGGUGUUGGAUCCAGGUGAAAUGGCUCAUUGUGAGAGCAAUCUGGCAAUUUACUGCCCAUAUGAUGCAAGUAAACAUGGUGGUUCCUACAGCAGUCAUAUCCGCAGUUUGGCCGCCUGAGCGGAAUGCCUGGUCAUAAAAUAUGAUGAGAUUGAGGAAGAAAGUAACUAGAGAUGAGUAGAGAGCGUUCCCCAUCCAUCCGAAAAUCCGAGGCCAGUCAAAGAACAAGUUUCGAGGUCCUU